rnacentral:snRNA from 1 species
UUGGCGACUGAUAAGUCUAUAUU